GAUGAAGAACGUAGCGAAAUGCGAUAAGUAGUGUGAAUUGCAGAAUUACCUGAAUCAUCGAGUCUUUGAACGCACAUUGCGCCCCCUGGUAUUCCGGGGGGCAUGCCUGUCCGAGCGUCAUUGCUGCCCUCAAGCACGGCUUGUGUGUUGGGCCUCCGUCCUCCUCCCGGGGGACGGGCCCGAAAGGCAGCGGCGGCACCGCGUCCGGUCCUCGAGCGUAUGGGGCUUCGUCACCCGCUCUUGUAGGCCCGGCCGGCGCUUGCCGACACAUCAAUCUUUUUUCCAGGUUGACCUCGGAUCAGGUAGGGAUACCCGCUGAACUUAAGCAUAUCAAUAAGCGGAGGA
rnacentral:misc_RNA from 1 species